rnacentral:rRNA from 1 species
UACGGGGGGGGCAAGCGUUGUUCGGAAUUACUGGGCGUAAAGGGCUCGUAGGCGGCCAACUAAGUCAGACGUGAAAUCCCCAGGCUCAACCUGGGAACUGCGUCUGAUACUGGAUGGCUUGAAUCCGGGAGAGGGAUGCAGAAUUCCAGGUGUAGCGGUGAAAUGCGUAGAUAUCUGGAGGAAUACCGGUGGCGAAGGCGGUAUCCUGGACCGGCAUUGACGCUGAGGAGCGAAAGCCAGGGGAGCAAACGGG